CAGAGACCUGGCUGUCCCCCUCUGAUAGCGCUACUCCUGCCUCUUUAUGUUUUGAUGGGCUUCAAUUCUCUCACACUCCCAGACUCAACUGUAAAGGAGGCGGCGUAGGCAUCCUUCUCUCCCCUCAAUGUACCUUUCAACCAAUCAUAACUCCCCCUGCCCUAUCCUUUUCUUCUUUUGAUGUUCACACUGUCCGCCUAUUCAAACCCACUCCUUUAAGAAUUGCUAUCAUCUACCCCGGUUAUCCUAGACUAUUCAUUGAGCACUUUUCUUCCUGGCUUCCCCACUUCCUCUCAUCUAGCACUCCUUCCCUUAUACUUGGGGAUUUCAAUAUCCCAAUCAAUAACCCCAAUUGCACUGAUGCCUCUCGUCUGCUCUGUAACCUACUCC